UACGUAGGGGGCGAGCGUUGUCCGGAUUCAUUGGGCGUAAAGAGCUCGUAGGCGGCUUGGCAAGUCGGGUGUGAAAACUUCAGGCUCAACCUGGAGAUGCCACUCGAUACUGCUAUGGCUAGAGUCCGGUAGGGGACCACGGAAUUCCCGUGGUGUGAGCGGAUGAAAUGCGCAGAUAUCAGGAAGAACACCCGUGGCGAAGGCGGCUCUCUGGGACGGUACUGACGCUGAGACGCGAAAGCGUGGGAGCGAACAGG
rnacentral:rRNA from 1 species